rnacentral:lncRNA from 1 species
CUAUUGUAUAGAAUGAGAUACCAAAUGAUGAAUCAAUCAGCUUUGAAGUCAGACCUAUUUGUUCGAUUCUUUAGCAUGACUCUACCACAAAUAAUACGAGAUUACUAACGUAUUAGUUUCAAGUAAAUGGGCACGUUCAAAUGAUACUUCUUUUAGCAUGUGAUUAUGUUUAUUACCAAAUAAUUAUGGGACAUUCUUCUAUGUGAAAGUUGUUUCUGCAUAGUUAAUGUCUCCAUCUGUGAAGUUUUACGGCGAAUGACUUUUGAG